GUACAGUUUACUGAUUCCAUUCAUUUUUCAUUUCUGCCUCAGAAAUUGUUGAAAGAAUUCUCAGCAGACGGUCUGAAAAGCUCGCCUUAAGCCAGGAGCUGGUGGUGGGUGGAGUUGGAGGUUCAGAAGAAAGAACUAAUGGUGUGGGGAGGAAGAACAAAACACUGUAAAGAUGUGAGGGAGUGGAAAGAGACCUGGAUCUGGUGUGUCAUUACUAAUGAAGGCCUUUGUGAAUGGUUGUGUGCAGCUGUGCUUCCUUUCAAGACGACUUGAUCUGGAGUGACGGAUGUUCGCUAUGAAGAUAUCUUUUUCUACAAGCGAUAAUCCUGUUGUACUGCCCAAACUACAAUAUUUGGACAAAGCAGCAGAGACAGUAAAGUGAGG